rnacentral:rRNA from 1 species
UUUUACGGAGAGUUUGAUCCUGGCUCAGGACGAACGCUGGCGGCGUGCUUAACACAUGCAAGUCGAGCGGUAAGGCCUUUCGGGGUACACGAGCGGCGAACGGGUGA